GGUCCCGGUGCUGGGGAGAUCCCCCCCCCAACUCCACCACUCCCCUACCUCAUGAACUUCUCCAUCACCUCCUCCACCCACAUCUGCAGGCGCAGGAAGCUGAUCCCGUAGUGCCACCAGAGCCGGAAGAGGUUCAGCAGGAAGAAGCACAUUGGGGCACUGCACGGCCUGCUGGUACAGCACAGCACCUUCACGGACUGAGGAGCCAGCUGGGGAACAGCCCUUCCCAUCCCCAGUGCCACAGCAGCAGCCGGACUGGGCAGCGCUUUGGGGGCAGCAGGGAAAGGAGAAGAACCAACUGCAAUUCUUUUUUUUUUAUUAGCAAACAGACAGUAUCUGGACAUGUAAAGAACAUCAGCCCUUUCCAACAUUAACUCAAAUGUUGUUGUCAGUGACUUGCACCGGUCCCACACUCGAGUUUUCCUCUCUUGUACAGCCAGAACCGUUGGGUAAGCGCAGCACAGACAAGUGAUGACGUACAGUACGUAAAGGUUCCUCACCAGCUAAAAUGGACUUCAGAUUUUUGGAGAUCAGCAACGCUUUGUUCAUCACACUUUGCAAGUAAUAUCAGAACAUCUCACGUUUUAAAAUUAAAAAACCAAAACCCCACAACAUUCACAAUAUAAAACUUAAAUACAGUUUUCAAAAACGAGA